rnacentral:rRNA from 1 species
AACUAUGUGCCAGCAGCUGCGGUAAUACAUAGGUCGCGAGCGUUAUUCGGAUUUAUUGGGCGUAAAGCAAGCGCAGGCGGAUGUAUAAGUUCUGUGUGAAAAGCAGCUGCUCAACAGCUGUUGGCGCCGAAUACUAUACAUCUAGAAUACGGUAGAAAGUUUUGGAAUUGAAUAUGGAGCGGUGGAAUGUGUAGAUAUAUUCAAGAACACCAGAGGCGAAGGCGAAAACUUAGGCCGAUAUUGACGCUUAGGCUUGAAAGUGUGGGGAGCAAAUGGGAUUAGAUACCCCAGUAGUCCACACCGUAAACGAUGGGUAUUAAAUGUUGGGGUUAGUGCCUCAGCGUUGUAGCUUACGUGUUAAAUACCCCGCCUGGGUAGUACAUAUGCAAAUAUGAAACUCAAAGGAAUUGACGGGGACCUGAACAAGUGGUGGAACAUGUUGCUUAAUUCGAUAAUACACGAAAAACCUUACCAAGAUUUGACAUCCCUCGCGAAGCUUUAGAGAUAAAGUGGAGGUUAUCGAGGUGACAGGUGGUGCAUGGUUGUCGUCAGCUCGUGUCAUGAGAUGUUGGGUUAAGUCCCGCAACGAGCGCAACCCUACUCUCUAGUUGUCUGUUUAGAGAGACUGAACAGUAAUGUAUAGGAAGGUCGGGAUCACGUCAAAUCAUCAUGCCCCUUAUGUCUUGGGCUGCAAACGUGUUACAAUGGCGAGCACAGCGUGUCGCAAACCAGCAAUGGUAAGCCAAUCACUAAAAACUCGUCUCAGUCCGGAUAAAAGGCUGCAAUUCGCCUUUUUGAAGUUGGAAUCACUAGUAAUCCCGUGUCAGCUAUAUCGGGGUGAAUACGUUCCCAGGUCUUGUACAC